GAAAUGCGAUAAGUAAUAUGAAUUGCAGAUUUUCGUGAAUCAUCGAAUCUUUGAACGCACAUUGCGCCCUUUGGUAUUCCAAAGGGCAUGCCUGUUUGAGCGUCAUUUCUCUCUCAAAUCUUCGGAUUUGGUUUUGAGUGAUACUCUUAGUCAGACUAAGCGUUUGCUUGAAAUGUAUUGGCAUGAGUGGUACUAGAUAGUGCUGAACUGUUUCAAUGUAUUAGGUUUAUCCAACUCGUUGACCAGUAAAGUAUUUGUUUAUUACACAGGCUCGGCCUUACAACAACAAACAAAGUUUGACCUCAAAUCAGGUAGGACUACCCGCUGAACUUAA
rnacentral:misc_RNA from 1 species